AGAGUUUGAUCCUGGCUCAGGAUGAACGCUGGCGGCGUGCCUAAUACAUGCAAGUCGAGCGAACAGAUAAGGAGCUUGCUCCUUUGACGUUAGCGGCGGACGGGUGAGUAACACGUGGGUAACCUACCUAUAAGACUGGAAUAACUCCGGGAAACCGGGGCUAAUGCCGGAUAAUAUUUAGAACCGCAUGGUUCUAAAGUGAAAGAUGGUUUUGCUAUCACUUAUAGAUGGACCCGCGCCGUAUUAGCUAGUUGGUGGGGUAAUGGCUUACCAAGGCAACGAUACGUAGCCGACCUGAGAGGGUGAUCGGCCACACUGGAACUGAGACACGGUCCAGACUCCUACGGGAGGCAGCAGUAGGGAAUCUUCCGCAAUGGGCGAAAGCCUGACGGAGCAACGCCGCGUGAGUGAUGAAGGUCUUCGGAUCGUAAAACCCUGUUAUUAGGGAAGAACAAAUGUGUAAGUAACUGUGCACGUCUUGACGGUACCUAAUCAGAAAGCCACGGCUAACUACGUG
rnacentral:rRNA from 1 species